rnacentral:rRNA from 1 species
GGACGAACGCUGGCGGCGUGCUUAACACAUGCAAGUCGAACGGAAAGGCCCUGCUUUUGUGGGGUGCUCGAGUGGCGAACGGGGGAGUAACACGGUAGUAACCUGCCCUUGACUUUGGGAUAACUUCAGGAAACUGGGGCUAAUACCGGAUAGGAGCUCCUGCUGCAUGGUGGGGGUUGGAAAGUUUCGGCGGUUGGGGAUGGACUCGCGGCUUAUCAGCUUGUUGGUGGGGUAGUGGCUUACCAAGGCUUUGACGGGUAGCCGGCCUGAGAGGGUGACCGGCGACAUUGGGACUGAGAUACGGCGCAGAAUCCUACGGGAGGCAGCAGUGGGGAAUAUUGCACAAUGGGCGGAAGCCUGAUGCAGCAACGCCGCGUGCGGGAUGACGGCCUUCGGGUUGUAAACCGCUUUCGCCUGUGACGAAGCGUGAGUGACGGUAAUGGGUAAAGAAGCACCGGCUAACUACGUG